rnacentral:rRNA from 14 species
AGCUGACCGAUAGUGAACUAGUACCGUGAGGGAAAGGCGAAAAGAACCCCGGUGAGGGGAGUGAAAUAGAUCCUGAAACCGUAUGCGUACAAGCAGUGGGAGCCCACUUUGUUGGGUGACUGCGUACCUUUUGUAUAAUGGGUCAGCGACUUAUAUUCUGUAGCAAGGUUAACCGAAUAGGGGAGCCGUAGGGAAACCGAGUCUUAAUAGGGCGUCUAGUUGCAGGGUAUAGACCCGAAACCGAGUGAUCUAUCCAUGAGCAGGUUGAAAGUGACGUAACAGUUACCGGAGGACCGAACCCACUG